rnacentral:lncRNA from 1 species
CAGCUGCACUGAGGGAAAUAAGUCACCCAGGACAAAUGCAACGACUAAUAAUAUCCAGACAUGUCUAGCUAGUCCUCUCUGAUGUUCAGUAUGAAUACUGUUUAACUUAGAUAGAAAUGAACUUAUAUUGCCUAAUUGGUUUGAGUCUAAAGGGGGUGAGAGAAGGAGGGUUAUGAUGAGACCAAUAACUCACUGAGUGAAUCUGUCCCUCUCAAGACUGCCAUCACUCCAUCAGCAUGCAAUAACGCUGGACUCAAUUCCAGGUUCCUGCAGUGUGGAGGGAUUCUCAUCAGCCUGUGGCAGUAUUUAAACCAUACAGCCUAGAGUAUGAUUCAAACCCUUGCGUGGAAUGUUAGAAGUGCCGGUGAUAUAAUGUUCAAUAUUGAUAACGACCGGGAGCAAGAUGGGUUCUAAUCGUUUAUGAAAAUAUUGUGCAGCCAGCAUGCAUUUUCCCCCUACUGUCCCCUGUUCCCCUACUGUUCCCUUUCCCUCCUGCUUCUUCACCACAUCUAUCGGCUCUUUCUGAUAGGAAGAAAUCCACAAACACCUUCGCACCUCCUAUCAAACGAGCUCCUGUAAAAACGCAACACUGUCAGAGAAGUGGCUCUGUGCGCGCAAGGUGUAACAUCCCUGGAGUGUUUUGUAAGCAUCAUUGCCAACUGGAUUCAAAGUGUAUUUUAGUCCUCUACUAUGGCAUCUGUGGAUCUCAUGAACUGUGGAUUUCUUCUUUGUCAUUGAAGAUAAUUGGCCACACAAACUAAACUCAAGGAUUAUUAAAGAGCAGGCCUAUCAUAGUGUAGGGCAACAGGGCCAAUUAAAUCCUGGUCUGGAAAAAUACUGAGUGCUAUUGAUGGGUUUGCUUUGAAAUGAUAGUAAGAAUCUCUGACACUAUUUUGUUUAAACUGUCCUCAAAGAAGUGGAUUGUAGUUUUAGACAUGAUAACAACUGGUGUCUUGGUCUGUAUGGUACCUCGUCCUGCUCCAGCAACAUAGUCAGUGCCAUCCCCAGACAAAAGGUUGAGGAAUGUGAACCUGAAGGUUCUGCCCAUGGAGGCCCACCCUGGAGGCAGACCAUUCAGAAUGCCUCAGCCCAGAAACCAGCCUGAUGGUGAUCUGGAGGCCCACCCUGGAGGCAGACCAUUCAGAAUGCCUCAGCCCAGAAACCAGCCUGAUGGUGAUCUGGAGGCCCACC